UAGCUAUAUUGCUACUUUUAUUUUUCUUCGCUCGUAGCGGUUAGUGCGACCGUUAAGACAUCCUAUCGGAACCUCUGAGAUUAAUCUUAUCUAGCAUAUUCGCAAUUUUGAGAUUGCUUGGCUAUUAUUUUCUUGCAUGUUCUUCGAUUUGCUUGCAGGAAAAAUUCUUCGUGGAUUCGAUCGCGCCGUUGGCUCGAUCGAUAACGCCGUGGAGUUGGUUCAGCGAUUGCCGUGGAUAUCAGUCUUGUACAGUUCUCCCUGUACGGUUGGUAACCGGAUCGUGAGGGUCAAGUCCCAACCAAAAUCUUAGUUAUCUCACUCUCAUCGAAAGAUCGGGGCGCCAGUUCACAUCACCGCCUCCCCUCGCGCUGCCGGCCAUCUCCUCGUCCACCGCCGCCACCGACCAGCCGCGGUGGCCGACGUCGGGAAGCGCUGCUGCUUUGGCGCUACCACCACCCGUCCCCUCUCGGCGGUGCUCCUCUGCCUCCUCCCAUCCCGUCACACGACCUCGCCACCCGGAAGACCACCCAUGGUGAGCCGCCGCCGAUCCACCCGCGCGAAGCGCCAUUGAUUAUCCCUCGUACACGCUGUUGUGCGCAGACACGCCUGCGACUCCCCGGCUCAUGCGCCGUCACGCCGACCACCUCCGGCCCUGACCUAGGGUUUGGUGGGCGAGCUCUUGAGAGCGAUCUCACUCUGACCCGAGGUGAACCGCGUCCCAUCCAUCACGGGGGCUGGAUCCUAAGGGGCAGAGGUGCAAUCCUGCAGAGCUGCUGGAUCCGAAAAUUAAAGUUACUGUUGUUCAGGUGUGAUUGGCCCGACGGCAACUCGGGCUUGCUGAGAACUAAGAGGCAGCAACAGGGGGGAGAGGGAAAUGGGGAAGCCCCUAUGCCAGCGUGAGCGACGGUUCCCCAACGAGGCAGGGUUGUUCGACAACAUGUCACCACCGAGCUGCUGCCGAGAUAAUACCGAUGCUCAAUCCCGAUCUGGAUAUCUCAUCUUUGAACAUUAGAAACGCUGAGAAGUCCAUGUAAGCUUGCCCAUGCUGGUUCCGCGCGACAUUAUAUCUCUGGACGUUCAUACUUCCACAGCUCUAGACAUGAACUUCCUGAUAUGGUAAUAAAAUUCUGGUGGAGAGACCUCCCAUAUUUAUUAGACUUGCUUGCUUUGGCAUGUUACUUCCUCUAAAUUUUAAAUAGGAUAUUCUUGGGAAUGAGAUGUAAUUUUAGGAAAUAAUUAUUAUUCAACACUUUAUUUUAUCCUGAAACUAUUGAUCUCUCUCUCUCUCUCUCUCUCUCUCUCUCUCUCUCUCUCUACGUACAUCUACAUAUAUCGCACCAGCUGUUCUAGGUAGAGUAGUAGUGGCCACAAAAUUUUACUGAAAUAAUCAUGCGAGAUUACCAAUGAAGAAAAUUCUCAUAGAAGGAUAGAAUGCGGGUAUAGAUAUUAUAAUAUUUGGUGUCAGAUAUGUUUACUCAGAUGAUCCAAGAACUGAAUGAACCAUUGGAAUAAAAUACCUCUCUGUUUGCUUUAAAAAUUGUACAGUCAACAUGCUAAUAUUAUGAUUAUAUUAUCCGCCCUGAAACUAAACUUUGUUUGGUGGUUGAGCUAGCAAAGAUUGGGAUUUUGAUUUCUAACAUGCAUAUCUUGCUUUUCCUCCAUCUUACUAUAUGGUCUGUCCUUCCAGUCCUAAUUCAGAAGCUUCACCCUUGGUCGAGGUGGCCGUUGUUUGUUUGCUUUUGUUUCUGUGUCAUCUCACAUAUCACAGUUUGCUACUUGCAAGUGUGAGUACUCUCUCUGAGCUGUAAGAUGCAACCCAAGACUGUAUUUGUGUUCUGUUGGGGCGUGAUCAUUGGAUGGUGGAUUAGGAUCAGUGCCUAACUAUGUCCCUAGGAUGUAUAUAAUUUGGAUUGCAUAGUUCAGUUUUGUAUCUCAGUCUAGAUUUGGAUUGAAAAUAAUUCCUUGCAAAAAUUGAUAUGUUAGGAAACAAGCAAAUGUAUAAGAUAUGUAGGUGCAAUCUUUUUUGUAUAAGAUAACUGGUUUAUCUGUUUAGUUGAUCCUUACUGUCGGUUGUCCAUGACGGAAGUUUAAGUUACUGUCGAAAUUGAUUAAGUUGAGUUUUCUAAUGUUUGCCUCUUUCUAAUAUCAAUUAUCAGGUAAGGACUCCAGUCUAAAUGUAAUCUAUAGUUCUAGGCUAUGCAAAUAAAAUGAAGUACCUGCCUAUUUUGAGCGAAUGCCCUACUGGAUGCCAUUUCUUAAGUUACUUUGUACCUACAGAGAGCUCAUUAGUGGAUAAGUUCUAUGGUGCAUUGGGAUUAUAUGUAGGAAGAAUAAAUGGCUUGAUUAAAUUGAGGAAACACUUUUACUGGAUGCUUAUGAAACUUAAAUGGCAACUACAGUAUAAAAGGAAGAAAGAUCAAUGCCUGCAUACGGAUCAGUGACGGUGAAUGUAGGAGUAUUAAUUUCACCUCUAUUUGCCAUGGAUGCUUAUGGAUCGGAGUCUGUUGGAUUAGUAUAAACAUUACACAUGUUGCUCUGCUCAAAGUCCUAAUGCACUGAGCGCAUGGUGUUUUGCUUUAGCCUUAGUCUUUUGUUCGGUAAUUGAUUACUUAGAGAGCCACAAGCUGCUUCUCCCUUAAACAAAAUGACACUUUGUAUAAUUGAUUACUCAGAGAGCCACAAGCGCAAGGAAAUCUUAACAUCUAGUUGGGUAUUGCAGAGUGUGGUUUUCUGUAGCUCAGGCUACACGGUACCCCUUAUCUUUGCCAUCCAUUUCUGCAUCGCGAUCCGUGCAGACGCAUUUGUCUUUUUUGUUUCUCUCAAACGACACAACAUAUAAACUUCAAAUUUUGCAGAACAACAAUACAUUCUAACUACAAUCUAGGAAAAAACUUUCAGAUGUUUUCAUGCAUUUUCAAUACUUAAAUAAUAUUUUUAGUCAAACAAAAUCUCAUUUUCUAUAUUUAUAUCAGACCAAAAAAUCUGAGUUUUUUCACACAUUGAUGUUCUAAUGUUUGUUCGAUCUGCAAAGUUUGAAGUUCAUAUGUUGUUUCAUUUUAGAGAAAGAAAAAAGAGAAAUCUUCUUGUUGUAAGUUAGUUGGAGAGUACGGAUCUCAAAGCAAGGCUGAAGGGUUGAGGAUAAGAGGUUCCAUGUAGCCUGAGCUACAAAGGAACUUUGUGUUCCAAGAAGUAACAAUUUUAGAAGACCUAUACAUGAGGGUUUGCAAAACAUUCUGGACCACCGCAUUGUUCAAAGUAUGGAGUGAUUUGUAUACUUCGAUAGAAAAAUUUACAGAUGGUUAGCUUUUUCGGGUAUUCCGAUUCGUAGUAGUCUGGAGGGAAUUCACUUAUAUAUUUGUGGUGCAUAAUUGUCAUGAUUCUUUCACCUAUCCAGUCGAUCAUUGCUCACCAUGGCCGUAGCUGCUCUGUGUCGCUGUUCCUCAGCCAAGAUCGUGCCUCGGCCACCAAGUCGUCACCACUGGGAAUCCUGCUUUUCUCGAGUAUGGGUCGCGGAGACGACGAGGAUCUCGCAUCGCUGCUGCACGCCCUCUCUAGCAGCCUCUCAUCGUCCUCGCGCUUGGCAGAAGGAGGACAAGGACGUCGAGCAGACAAGGGUUGCCACUCCCUCCACGGCCGAGUCAGAGCCCGACGCCACUGAGCUCGAGCGCUACGACAUUAAUGAGGACCUCCGUGAGUUUGUCAACGGCAUGACCAUAAUCACCUUUCGCGACAUCCCCUUGCAAGAUGUGUUGAAUGUGCCUCAGGAUCUGAACAAAUGGCUGGCUAGGCAUACCACUCUCGUCCUCUCGCCCCUCAGGGUUUUGUAUCCAUCAACCAUUUCAGUCAUGGGAGAUUUGGUUUAUGUGGCUCUCCAUCGAUGGAAUGCCGAUGAAUGCACAUAUGAACAUACAUACAUAGUUCUAUUUUGCUUUAGAAUUCCAGUGUCAGGUACCAUCCCUCCAUGAGGUUUUAUCCAGCGUCUUUCUCUUUCCUUAAUAAUUGUUGCACUUUUGAUUGAAGAAAAUUUCAUGGAGGUUGCUGAUUUGCACUACUGACCAUACGCUUAUAUUUUGGCAUUUCUGAAGGACUACUAUGAAUGUUAAGAGUUAGAAAUUCCUAAGUGGAUUGGGAUAUUGACAUGCAGGGACCAAAUUGGGUGCUGUUUUUCUACUCAAUUCUGCUCCUGAUGGUUUUGUGACUGACCAACAUGGUGGAAAGGGCAACGUACGCCAAGGCGCACUCCCCUCUCUUCCCCUCUUGACAUGUACUCUUUUCCUGAUUUAGAUCUUUCUCAACAUCUCAUGCCACGAGUCAAAAUGAGUAGCACUACUCAUGUACAUUCUAAUCGUGCGCAUUAGCUUUGCUGGGUAGUAAUGAUUAUAGAUCCUUAUUUCUGCAUGCUUUAGACCAUGUUCGGAGACCCGCCACUGCACCACUCCGUUCCCGGAGCUGGAGUUAAAAAGCACGGAGCUGGGAAACAGAUGCUUCACAACUCCUCGUAUUUUUAGGAGCUGGAGUGACUCCGAGCAUGGCCUUAGUUUCCUGUUGUGCAGUUUGCUAUGGUGGCAUUAAUUCAUAUAAUAAGUUAAUAAUCAUGCCAUGAGUGACUAUGGGGCACUAGCACUAAGAGCCUUUUUUUUCAUUCUGUUCUUCACUAAUAUAUUCUUCUUAAUUCGUUUCUUUAAUUACCAAUAUAGGCCUUUAAUUUGUGUGCACCUAAUAUUAAAUCCUGAACAAAGUGAAAUUAUGUAGUGUUCAAAAUUAUAAAGUGUACAUAAUUGCACAUAAUGUGCCUUAUGGAAGAACUGAGCACCCAUAUUUUGUACUUAGAAUUUAGAACUAUACUUUGGUUGGUUUGGUUUAGUAAUACUACUUGAGGCAUCCUUUUGAAAAUAUAUGUAAGAAGACCCGAAUACUCAUUCAAAGUGUUUUUGUAUUAACAUUCAUAUAUAUGUAGCUCUGAUAAGUGUUGGUGGGUUUAGUUUUUCAAAACCAUAGAUGAUGUUUUCUUUAUAGAAUAAGAUGGAACUAAACAUAUCCAAAGUAACAUUUAGAAUUACUCAACUCUGACAAGCUUCGACAGCUUUACCUUUAUAAUACUCCCUCCGUCCCAAAAUAAGUGUCGCUGAUUCUACAACUUUAUACUAAAUCAGCGACACUUAUGUUGGGAGGAGGGAGUACCAUAGAGUUAAUCGUGCCUUCUUAUAAUAGCAUUCAUACUACCAAAUUUCCUCUUUGAUAAGCUUACGAGAACAAUCUUCAGCCUUUUAUUUAAUCUAAUAGAAGAAUAAAAUAGAGUGAGUGAUCACUUACAUGUUCAUAAUCUGAAGGAUAGAAGCAAUAAUGUGCAGAAGGAACUAUAUGUUAUAAUCUGCAGAAGGAACUAUAUGUUUUGAGGAGGCGGAGUCACGCGCGAGAGCAUGAGGUGUUCGCACCUGGUGGCUUUCUUGAGACAAGCACAAGAGCAUAAGGAUCAUGGCAUGUAAGGAGUAGAGCAAUUAGAUGACCCAGUCAAACUAUCAAGUACUCCCUCUAUAACGAAAUAUAAGAGUGUUUAGAUUAUUACUUUAGUGAUCUAAACGCUCUUAUAUUUCUUUACGGAGGGAGUAUUAGACAUUAGCAUAACUAAGUAGGUUCUUUAUCUCGCAACAUCUCGCUAGCUCGCUUGAGCUAUGUGAUGACCCAACUAUUCUAUCUGUUUGGUUGUGAUCCAUCAUCUCGGCUUACUUAUUUGACAAUAUAAUGACUCAACUGCUUCGGUUAUAGCGCAGCUACUUAGGUUCUUUAUCUCGUAUCUCUCCUGUGGAUCCUUUUGUCUAUAUAAUGACUCGAUAUUUUGUGUCUACUAUGUGAUGACUUAUCGUGUUGGUUUACUUUUGCCAAAAAUGUUGCUUUGCUUUUGGUAUGAUCAAUUGCACUGCCCUUUGGCAUUGCUUGGAGGGAAGUUUAAAUUUUAAACCUGAUCUGCAUACCAAUGAAUGGCAAUGUUUAUGCUAUAUCUUUGAAUAGAUUACUAUCGAGUAUAUGAAUCGGUGAAGUGAGAGCAUGUAGUCAUGGUAGGGUAGGUAUGAUUUUAUUUCAAGUUUUGUGUGAAACAUCCUAGCAAUUACUCAUGUGGUUAUAUAAUGAUAUAUUUAGGAUGUGCCUUCAGGUGUUGAGACCAGAAAAUUGGAAAACUGAAACUUUUAUUUGUAUUAAUUCCCUUGUUUCCAUUUUUUGGAAUUUCUUGCUUUUUUAACAGGUGUUAUGAUUUCAAGGUCCAUGGUCCUUCUGAUGUUUUCUUCUAUUGAUUUACAGGUCCUUGCGGUUGUCAUUCCCAUGACUGUGCCGUUCGCGUUUGUACAUGGUGAGCUCUGUUAUGUUCGUCUAUUUACUCGGUGGUUACUAGAGAAUAUAUUUCAUGUGCCCUGUCUUGGUUGAUAGUGUAUCCUGCUCUUGCUUUCUUACCGUCGAGGAGAUGGAUAGAUAUAGAUUCUAGUAUUUCUCGGUUCGCUAUACAGAGAUGGAGCUUGCAAAACAUAUUAAUUUACCGGUCGAUGGCAUGUGGGCUGAGCUCGUGUGUGGCUGCGCAACUGGGCAAGUCCGUCUGAUGAAAGGUGUGGACGGAAGAGCGACAAUAACUACGGGGUUGGUCAAAGAUUGAAAGAAAUCUCUUAUGUGUCUUCGGCUUCGACACUACGCAUAGGAAGCCGUUGUUGACAAUCCAAUCUCUGAGAAGGUUAGUUCAAGGUUCAUAACUCUGUUGUCAAUGGAGAAAAUGUUGUUUGAAGUGACUAAACUAACUACUCAUAGCGGGUUCAUGUGGUGUGGCGUAUGGAAGGUUGAACGUCAAGGUGAUCAGGUGGAUCUAUCAAAAAAAUAUGCUUGUGUGGAACUACAUAUGUUCUUUGUUGCUGCUGUGGCUUGAUUUUGCUGUAUGAAAAGUAUAUUGUCUGUAUCAAACUUGAUGUGGAUUGACGAAUGGUUCUACUGACAAAAUUCCUCAUGGUUGCUUUGCAUUUGCUACAUGUAAUUGCC